rnacentral:tRNA from 1 species
GAUUAAAUGGCUGAAAUAUAGGUAAUAGACUGUAAAUCUAUUUAUAAGACAAUUGUCUUUUUAAUCAA